UCAAAUCUAGAAAUGGGAUGAACGUGUUGGUAGAGGGAGAAAAUUAGGCUUCACAAAAUAGGUCGGGCUUUAGUUUUAACUUCUACAUUGUUUAAAAAAUGGAGGUUUGAGCAUUUUAAGUGAGAGGAUCUAUAAACUUAAUCUCUUCGUUAUUACAAGUCUUUUUUAUUUUUCACAUGUAUUAAGAAAUAUAAUAAUUGUGGUACGAAAAAAGAUAAAUUAGGAAGGAUUUUACAAAAUUGUCUUUCAUUAAUGGUAUUGAAAAGACAAAUUGACAUCAUUGAAACGAGAGAGAAUAAUAAAUAUUUAAGGGUAUAAUAGGAAAAAUAACAUUAAUGAUUCAUUGAUAUUAUAAAACGAUUUAUAUUGUGGUACAAAAUAUUUUUAUAAAGCGACUUAUAAUAAAAAACAGAGGUAGUAU
rnacentral:lncRNA from 1 species